UACGAAGGGGGCUAGCGUUGUUCGGAAUUACUGGGCGUAAAGCGCACGUAGGCGGAUUUGUUAGUCAGGGGUGAAAUCCCGGGGCUCAACCUCGGAACUGCCUUUGAUACUGCAAGUCUCGAGUCCGGAAGAGGUGAGUGGAAUUCCUAGUGUAGAGGUGAAAUGCUUAGAUAUGGCACAGAACACCGAUAGUGAAGACAGCUCACGAGGGCCAAACUGACGCUGAGGCACGAAAGCGUGGGGAUCGAACAGG
rnacentral:rRNA from 1 species